GGAGACUUGACGAUAAGGCGAGUACUGCUGGAAGAAUUUCCCAAGAUGAGAAAUUUGUGUGGUGGUUGGGUGCUUACGAAAGCUUCAGAGAUUAUCUCCACAUCUACGCUGCCUGACUCCGGAAAUGUGCAUAUGGUCUCUGAAAGCAGCACUGGUGCCUAAUUUUUCUCUGUCGACUCACACUUCACACAAGACCUAGCAUAUCAGCUACCCUUCCACGGGAGGAUAUCCCAUUAAGGU